rnacentral:rRNA from 1 species
AGCGUAUAUUAAAGUUGUUGCAGUUAAAAAGCUCGUAGUUGAAUUUCGGGGUUCAUACGUUGGUCGGGCUAUUUGGUCUGUACUUAUGUAAUGGAUUCCUACCUUCUGAAUAACCGGCAUGCCAUUAAUUUGGUGCGCCGGGGAAGCAGAACUGUUACCUUGAAAAAAUUAGAGUGCUUAAAGCAGGCUAUCGCCUGAAUACAUUAGCAUGGAAUAAUGAAAUAGGACGGCAUGGUUCUAUUUUGUUGGUUUCUAGGAUCACCGUAAUGAUUAAUAGGGAUAGUUGGGGGCAUUAGUAUUCAAUUGUCAGAGGUGAAAUUCUUGGAUUUAUUGAAGACUAACUUCUGCGAAAGCAUUUGCCAAGGAUGUUUUCAUUAAUCAAGAACGAAAGUUAGGGGAUCGAAGACGAUCAGAUACCGUCGUAGUCUUAACCAUAAACUAUGCCGACUAGGGAUCGGACGAUGUUAAUUUUUUAAUGACUCGUUC